GCAACUGACGCUGAAGCUCGAAGGUGCGGGUAUCGAACAGGAUUAGAUACCCUGGUAGUCCGCACAGUAAACGAUGGAUGCCCGCUGUUAGCACCUAGUGUUAGCGGCUAAGCGAAAGCAUUAAGCAUCCCACCUGGGGAGUACGCCGGCAACGGUGAAACUCAAAGGAAUUGACGGGGGCCCGCACAAGCGGAGGAACAUGUGGUUUAAUUCGAUGAUACGCGAGGAACCUUACCCGGGCUUGAAUUGCAGAUGAACGAUUUAGAGAUAAUGAGGUCCUUCGGGACAUCUGUGAAGGUGCUGCAUGGUUGUCGUCAGCUCGUGCCGUGAGGUGUCGGCUUAAGUGCCAUAACGAGCGCAACCCCUUUCUUUAGUUGCCAUCAGGUUCUGCUGGGCACUCUGGAGAUACUGCCACCGUAAGGUGUGAGGAAGGUGGGGAUGACGUCAAAUCAGCACGGCCCUUACGUCCGGGGCUACACACGUGUUACAAUGGCCGGUACAGAGAGUUGGUCGUGCGCAAGUACGGUCUAAUCCAUAAAACCGGUCUCAGUUCGGACUGGGGUCUGCAACCCGACCCCACGAAGCUGGAUUCGCUAGUAAUCGCGCAUCAGCCAUGGCGCGGUGAAUACGUUCCCGGGCCUUGUACACACCGCCCGUCAAGCCAUGAAAGCCGGGGGCGCUUGAAGUCCGUGACCGCAAGGAUCGGCCUAGAGCGAAACUGGUAAUUGGGGCUAAGUCGUAACAAGGUAGCCGUAA
rnacentral:rRNA from 1 species